ACUAAGCGUACACGGUGGAUGCCCUGGCAGUCAGAGGCGAUGAAGGACGUGCUAAUCUGCGAUAAGCGUCGGUAAGGUGAUAUGAACCGUUAUAACCGGCGAUUUCCGAAUGGGGAAACCCAGUGUGAUUCGUCACACUAUCAUUAACUGAAUCCAUAGGUUAAUGAGGCGAACCGGGGGAACUGAAACAUCUAAGUACCCCGAGGAAAAGAAAUCAACCGAGAUUCCCCCAGUAGCGGCGAGCGAACGGGGAGCAGCCCAGAGCCUGAAUCAGUGUGUGUGUUAGUGGAAGCGUCUGGAAAGGCGCGCGAUACAGGGUGACAGCCCCGUACACAAAAAUGCACAUAUUGUGAGCUCGAUGAGUAGGGCGGGACACGUGGUAUCCUGUCUGAAUAUGGGGGGCCCAUCCUCCAAGGCUAAAUACUCCUGACUGACCGAUAGUGAACCAGUACCGUGAGGGAAAGGCGAAAAGAACCCCGGCGAGGGGAGUGAAAAAGAACCUGAAACCGUGUACGUACAAGCAGUGGGAGCACGCUUAGGCGUGUGACUGCGUACCUUUUGUAUAAUGGGUCAGCGACUUAUAUUCUGUAGCAAGGUUAACCGAAUAGGGGAGCCGAAGGGAAACCGAGUCUUAACUGGGCGUUAAGUUGCAGGGUAUAGACCCGAAACCCGGUGAUCUAGCCAUGGGCAGGUUGAAGGUUGGGUAACACUAACUGGAGGACCGAACCGACUAAUGUUGAAAAAUUAGCGGAUGACUUGUGGCUGGGGGUGAAAGGCCAAUCAAACCGGGAGAUAGCUGGUUCUCCCCGAAAGCUAUUUAGGUAGCGCCUCGUGAAUUCAUCUCCGGGGGUAGAGCACUGUUUCGGCAAGGGGGUCAUCCCGACUUACCAACCCGAUGCAAACUGCGAAUACCGGAGAAUGUUAUCACGGGAGACACACGGCGGGUGCUAACGUCCGUCGUGAAGAGGGAAACAACCCAGACCGCCAGCUAAGGUCCCAAAGUCAUGGUUAAGUGGGAAACGAUGUGGGAAGGCCCAGACAGCCAGGAUGUUGGCUUAGAAGCAGCCAUCAUUUAAAGAAAGCGUAAUAGCUCACUGGUCGAGUCGGCCUGCGCGGAAGAUGUAACGGGGCUAAACCAUGCACCGAAGCUGCGGCAGCGACGCUUAUGCGUUGUUGGGUAGGGGAGCGUUCUGUAAGCCUGCGAAGGUGUGCUGUGAGGCAUGCUGGAGGUAUCAGAAGUGCGAAUGCUGACAUAAGUAACGAUAAAGCGGGUGAAAAGCCCGCUCGCCGGAAGACCAAGGGUUCCUGUCCAACGUUAAUCGGGGCAGGGUGAGUCGACCCCUAAGGCGAGGCCGAAAGGCGUAGUCGAUGGGAAACAGGUUAAUAUUCCUGUACUUGGUGUUACUGCGAAGGGGGGACGGAGAAGGCUAUGUUGGCCGGGCGACGGUUGUCCCGGUUUAAGCGUGUAGGCUGGUUUUCCAGGCAAAUCCGGAAAAUCAAGGCUGAGGCGUGAUGACGAGGCACUACGGUGCUGAAGCAACAAAUGCCCUGCUUCCAGGAAAAGCCUCUAAGCAUCAGGUAACAUCAAAUCGUACCCCAAACCGACACAGGUGGUCAGGUAGAGAAUACCAAGGCGCUUGAGAGAACUCGGGUGAAGGAACUAGGCAAAAUGGUGCCGUAACUUCGGGAGAAGGCACGCUGAUAUGUAGGUGAAGUCCCUUGCGGAUGGAGCUGAAAUCAGUCGAAGAUACCAGCUGGCUGCAACUGUUUAUUAAAAACACAGCACUGUGCAAACACGAAAGUGGACGUAUACGGUGUGACGCCUGCCCGGUGCCGGAAGGUUAAUUGAUGGGGUCAGCGCAAGCGAAGCUCUUGAUCGAAGCCCCGGUAAACGGCGGCCGUAACUAUAACGGUCCUAAGGUAGCGAAAUUCCUUGUCGGGUAAGUUCCGACCUGCACGAAUGGCGUAAUGAUGGCCAGGCUGUCUCCACCCGAGACUCAGUGAAAUUGAACUCGCUGUGAAGAUGCAGUGUACCCGCGGCAAGACGGAAAGACCCCGUGAACCUUUACUAUAGCUUGACACUGAACAUUGAGCCUUGAUGUGUAGGAUAGGUGGGAGGCUUUGAAGUGUGGACGCCAGUCUGCAUGGAGCCGGCCUUGAAAUACCACCCUUUAAUGUUUGAUGUUCUAACGUGGACCCGUGAUCCGGGUUGCGGACAGUGUCUGGUGGGUAGUUUGACUGGGGCGGUCUCCUCCUAAAGAGUAACGGAGGAGCACGAAGGUUGGCUAAUCCUGGUCGGACAUCAGGAGGUUAGUGCAAUGGCAUAAGCCAGCUUGACUGCGAGCGUGACGGCGCGAGCAGGUGCGAAAGCAGGUCAUAGUGAUCCGGUGGUUCUGAAUGGAAGGGCCAUCGCUCAACGGAUAAAAGGUACUCCGGGGAUAACAGGCUGAUACCGCCCAAGAGUUCAUAUCGACGGCGGUGUUUGGCACCUCGAUGUCGGCUCAUCACAUCCUGGGGCUGAAGUAGGUCCCAAGGGUAUGGCUGUUCGCCAUUUAAAGUGGUACGCGAGCUGGGUUUAGAACGUCGUGAGACAGUUCGGUCCCUAUCUGCCGUGGGCGCUGGAGAACUGAGGGGGGCUGCUCCUAGUACGAGAGGACCGGAGUGGACGCAUCACUGGUGUUCGGGUUGUCAUGCCAAUGGCACUGCCCGGUAGCUAAAUGCGGAAGAGAUAAGUGCUGAAAGCAUCUAAGCACGAAACUUGCCCCGAGAUGAGUUCUCCCUGACCCUUUAAGGGUCCUGAAGGAACGUUGAAGACGACGACGUUGAUAGGCCGGGUGUGUAAGCGCAGCGAUGCGUUGAGCUAACCGGUACUAAUGAACCGUGAGGCUUAACC
rnacentral:rRNA from 6 species